AUACCCUCCCAAGGUGGGAUCCCCGACCCUGAAGCCGGAGAAGGCAGCUCUGGUGCAAAAGUUUCUAUGCUCCCUCUAUCACCUCCAUCCCUGAGGUUAUCGCAGAUUAGAAGG